rnacentral:rRNA from 1 species
GUGCCAGCCGCCGCGGUAAUACAGAGGUGGCAAGCGUUGUUCGGAAUUACUGGGCGUAAAGGGCGCGUAGGCGGCCUUGUAAGUCUCGUGUGAAAGCCCUCGGCUUAACUGAGGAUCUGCACGGGAUACUGCGAGGCUUGAGUUCGGGAGAGGAAAGCGGAAUUCCGGGUGUAGCGGUGAAAUGCGUAGAUAUCCGGAGGAACACCAGUGGCGAAGGCGGCUUUCUGGACCGACACUGACGCUGAGGCGCGAAAGCUAGGGGAGCAAACGGGAUUAGAUACCCGCGUAGUCC